ACUCUGCAACGGCUUCCCACACAUGCUCAAGCAUCGUGUGAUGGAAGAUUUAUCAUUUUCCUUUCAUAGUUAAGCCUUUGAUACAUUAGGAAUUUAUUUCCUGUCACGUGGGAUCCUACUUCAUUUCCUUUCUAAUCGAUAACAAGUGAUGUCAUUUUAUUUUAUUGAAGCAUUAUUCUUUCAGCCAAUGCAGAUACUAACAGCUCUGUAUGGUAAACUGCAGUGAAUUCUGGGAUGUGUAUCUAGCUCCUGUCUCUGACUCACCUCUUCCUUUCCUAUCACCACACUGCUUUGACAAUGAGUGGCUUGUGGUAUAUUUUAGCGUCAAUCGAGGCAAGGGCAGCCUUCCAAGUUUUCACUUUCUCAUCCUUCUGGAGUGCAGGUUCCUCUCUGUGAACUGUGAAGCCAUUGUGUUAGGAAGCUAAUGGCAGAAGGCCUGGAAUUGGGCUGAGUGGUUUCACAGAAAUAUGAGAUGAAUUUUCUUGGCACGGCCCCAAUCCUGAUGAGUGAUUCAGCUUCAGAGCUACAGUCCACAGAUGUCCCUUCUGUUCGUGUGUCACAGACCAAAUCAAAUUAGAUGGCCCUGCUGACUUCAAAAGGACAGGAAAAUGCUACCCUGAGGGGAGGGCAGUGGGAAGUUGAGGAAUAUUAAUAGGGGAGAUGACACACCUGUGGGCUGAGUCUAUUCCAGCUGCCAGGAGUCUUGAACUUCUUCCUUCACAGUCAGGAAGCUGAGAGUUCAAGAUCAAGGGAGCAGGUGUGCCCAGAUCUAAACACUCUCAUCCCUCACAAAUGUGCCUGAAGACUUGACUCCCAGGUGAACGUCGAAGUCCAAAGUCAGGCCUUUUUCCACACGGAGUCCACUUCAGUGGCGAAACUUACUGAGGAAUGUCUCACUGGAUCCACAUCUAAGCUUUGGUAGGACUUUAAGAACAUUUCCUGGGAAGUAGGCUGAACUGAAGACCUCUCUUUAGCUACAUAGCUCUCUUUAGUUUCCUUAGAUAACAGGGAAACAGGAAGCUGGGUACUUUCCCAUUGUGCCCCUGAAGAUAGGAUAGACAAAGUUCCUGUUAUCCACUCAGCCUUGAAGAAAGAAGAGGCCCAGAAGCACCGCCCAUGAUUACAUCAUCCUCAGUGCCCAGAACCCUCAGGGCCAGAGCAGACCUCCCCAAGAGUCCACCCAUUAGAUUUCAUGUCACUGAAGUUUGUUAUGAUACAGCCUGAAGUCAGAGAGUGAUCCAUUGCUGAUCAUCGUGUAGACCAAAGUGGCUGGCUGACAUUUAUUAGCUUUAAGUGUGUCCCAGGAGUAGUUCAAAGCCUUUAGAUGGUAUUAACUUGCUUUGUUCUCACUCUAUGA
rnacentral:lncRNA from 1 species